rnacentral:pre_miRNA from 1 species
UUUUUAGUAUGAGUAUGCUCCAUGACAUGUUUGGGACAUACUUAUACUAAAA